rnacentral:misc_RNA from 1 species
AAACACAGGACUUUCAUACAAACUUCCAUCCCCCGUUUUAUCCCCUUAGAGGUCGAGUUUCGUAAAAUCCGUUCUUAGCGGAUGUCUACGCCCUAUAAGGAACCUACCUGCCGAAUUUAAGUUUGUAGCUGUUAUAGUUUCGGAGAUUUCGUGGUGAUUGAGUCAACCUACCAUUCCCCGUUUUAACCUCAAAAGGUAGUUGAUUUCUAAAGAUACAUUAUUUGGACACCUUCUCACCAUCUAAAGAGCUUACAUUUUAAAUUUCAAGUCUCUUACUUCAAAAACAUAGAACUUUCAUACAAACUUGCAACCCCCGUUUUACCCCCUUAGGGGUCGAGUUUCGUAAAAUCCGCUCUUAGCGGGUGUCUACGCCCUAUAAGAAACCUACCUAUCAAAUGCCAAAUUUGUAGCUGUUAUAGUUUCGGAGAUUUCGUGAUGAAUGAGUCAAUCUACCAUCCCCUGUUUUAACCCCAAAAGAGAAUUUAUUUCUAAAGAUGCAUUAUUUGAUACCUCUUCACCAUCUAUAGAGUAUAUAUUUUAAAUUUCAAGUCUCUUACUUCAAAAAUAUAAGACUUUCAUACAAAAUUCCAACCCCCGUUUUACCCCCUUAGCGGUCGAGUUUCGUAAAAUCCGUUUUUAGCGGAUGUCUACGUUCUAUAAGGAGUCUACAUGCCAAAUUUCAAGUUUGUAGCUGUUAUAGUUCCGGAGAUUUCGUGAUGAGUGAAUCAAUCUACCAUCCCCCGUUAUAACCCCAAAAGGGAGUUGAUUUCUAAAGAUACAUUAUUUGAACACCUUGUUACCAUCUAUAGAGCA